rnacentral:rRNA from 1 species
AGCGCAUACGGUGGAUGCCUUGGCAGUCAGAGGCGAUGAAAGACGUGGUAGCCUGCGAAAAGCUUCGGGGAGUCGGCAAACAGACUUUGAUCCGGAGAUCUCUGAAUGGGGGAACCCACCUAGGAUAACCUAGGUAUCUUGUACUGAAUCCAUAGGUGCAAGAGGCGAACCAGGGGAACUGAAACAUCUAAGUACCCUGAGGAAAAGAAAUCAACCGAGAUUCCCUUAGUAGUGGCGAGCGAACGGGGAUUAGCCCUUAAGCUUCAUUGAUUUUAGCGGAACGCUCUGGAAAGUGCGGCCAUAGUGGGUGAUAGCCCCGUACGCGAAAGGAUCUUUGAAGUGAAAUCGAGUAGGACGGAGCACGAGAAACUUUGUCUGAACAUGGGGGGACCAUCCUCCAAGGCUAAAUACUACUGACUGACCGAUAGUGAACCAGUACCGUGAGGGAAAGGCGAAAAGAACCCCGGAGAGGGGAGUGAAAUAGAACCUGAAACCGUAUGCGUACAAGCAGUGGGAGCCUACUUGUUAGGUGACUGCGUACCUUUUGUAUAAUGGGUCAGCGACUUAUAUUCAGUGGCGAGCUUAACCGUAUAGGGUAGGCGUAGCGAAAGCGAGUCUUAAUAGGGCGUUUAGUCGCUGGGUAUAGACCCGAAACCGGGCGAUCUAUCCAUGAGCAGGUUGAAGGUUAGGUAACACUGACUGGAGGACCGAACCCACUCCCGUUGAAAAGGUAGGGGAUGACUUGUGGAUCGGAGUGAAAGGCUAAUCAAGCUCGGAGAUAGCUGGUUCUCCUCGAAAGCUAUUUAGGUAGCGCCUCAUGUAUCACUCUGGGGGGUAGAGCACUGUUUCGGCUAGGGGGUCAUCCCGACUUACCAAACCGAUGCAAACUCCGAAUACCCAGAAGUGCCGAGCAUGGGAGACACACGGCGGGUGCUAACGUCCGUCGUGAAAAGGGAAACAACCCAGACCGCCAGCUAAGGUCCCAAAGUUGUGGUUAAGUGGUAAACGAUGUGGGAAGGCUUAGACAGCUAGGAGGUUGGCUUAGAAGCAGCCAUCCUUUAAAGAAAGCGUAAUAGCUCACUAGUCGAGUCGGCCUGCGCGGAAGAUGUAACGGGGCUCAAACCACACACCGAAGCUGCGGGUGUCACGUAAGUGACGCGGUAGAGGAGCGUUCUGUAAGCCUGUGAAGGUGAGUUGAGAAGCUUGCUGGAGGUAUCAGAAGUGCGAAUGCUGACAUGAGUAACGACAAUGGGUGUGAAAAACAUCCACGCCGAAAGACCAAGGGUUCCUGCGCAACGUUAAUCGACGCAGGGUUAGUCGGUUCCUAAGGCGAGGCUGAAAAGCGUAGUCGAUGGGAAACAGGUUAAUAUUCCUGUACUUCUGGUUACUGCGAUGGAGGGACGGAGAAGGCUAGGCCAGCUUGGCGUUGGUUGUCCAAGUUUAAGGUGGUAGGCUGAAAUCUUAGGUAAAUCCGGGGUUUCAAGGCCGAGAGCUGAUGACGAGUCGUCUUUUAGAUGACGAAGUGGUUGAUGCCAUGCUUCCAAGAAAAGCUUCUAAGCUUCAGGUAACCAGGAACCGUACCCCAAACCGACACAGGUGGUCGGGUAGAGAAUACCAAGGCGCUUGAGAGAACUCGGGUGAAGGAACUAGGCAAAAUGGCACCGUAACUUCGGGAGAAGGUGCGCCGGCUAGGGUGAAGGAUUUACUCCGUAAGCUCUGGCUGGUCGAAGAUACCAGGCCGCUGCGACUGUUUAUUAAAAACACAGCACUCUGCAAACACGAAAGUGGACGUAUAGGGUGUGACGCCUGCCCGGUGCCGGAAGGUUAAUUGAUGGGGUUAGCGCAAGCGAAGCUCUUGAUCGAAGCCCCGGUAAACGGCGGCCGUAACUAUAACGGUCCUAAGGUAGCGAAAUUCCUUGUCGGGUAAGUUCCGACCUGCACGAAUGGCGUAACGAUGGCGGCGCUGUCUCCACCCGAGACUCAGUGAAAUUGAAAUCGCUGUGAAGAUGCAGUGUAUCCGCGGCUAGACGGAAAGACCCCGUGAACCUUUACUGUAGCUUUGCACUGGACUUUGAGCCUGCUUGUGUAGGAUAGGUGGGAGGCUUUGAAGCGUGGACGCCAGUUCGCGUGGAGCCAUCCUUGAAAUACCACCCUGGCAUGCUUGAGGUUCUAACUCUGGUCCGUAAUCCGGAUCGAGGACAGUGUAUGGUGGGCAGUUUGACUGGGGCGGUCUCCUCCUAAAGAGUAACGGAGGAGUACGAAGGUGCGCUCAGACCGGUCGGAAAUCGGUCGCAGAGUAUAAAGGCAAAAGCGCGCUUGACUGCGAGACAGACACGUCGAGCAGGUACGAAAGUAGGUCUUAGUGAUCCGGUGGUUCUGUAUGGAAGGGCCAUCGCUCAACGGAUAAAAGGUACUCCGGGGAUAACAGGCUGAUACCGCCCAAGAGUUCAUAUCGACGGCGGUGUUUGGCACCUCGAUGUCGGCUCAUCACAUCCUGGGGCUGAAGCCGGUCCCAAGGGUAUGGCUGUUCGCCAUUUAAAGUGGUACGCGAGCUGGGUUUAGAACGUCGUGAGACAGUUCGGUCCCUAUCUGCCGUGGACGUUUGAGAUUUGAGAGGGGCUGCUCCUAGUACGAGAGGACCGGAGUGGACGAACCUCUGGUGUUCCGGUUGUCACGCCAGUGGCAUUGCCGGGUAGCUAUGUUCGGAAAAGAUAACCGCUGAAAGCAUCUAAGCGGGAAACUUGCCUCAAGAUGAGAUCUCACUGGGAACUUGAUUCCCCUGAAGGGCCGUCGAAGACUACGACGUUGAUAGGCUGGGUGUGUAAGCGUUGU